rnacentral:rRNA from 1 species
UGAGGAAUAUUGGUCAAUGGACGAGAGUCUGAACCAGCCAAGUAGCGUGCAGGAUGAUGGCCCUAUGGGUUGUAAACUGCUUUUAUAAGGGAAUAAAGUGAGCCUCGUGAGGCUUUUUGCAUGUACCUUAUGAAUAAGGACCGGCUAAUUCCGUGCCAGCAGCCGCGGUAAUACGGAAGUCCGGGCGUUAUCCGGAUUUAUUGGGUUUAAAGGGAGCGUAGGCCGGAGAUUAAGCGUGUUGUGAAAUGUAGACGCUCAACGUCUGCACUGCAGCGCGAACUGGUUUCCUUGAGUACGCACAAAGUGGGCGGAAUUCGUGGUGUAGCGGUGAAAUGCUUAGAUAUUAGGAGGAACACCAGUGGCGAAGGCGGCUUACUGGACGA